CGUAUGUGAAAGUGCAGUGGAGCAAUCACGAGGAACGAGAGGCGACUUGGGAGCCUGAGAUGGUGAUGCGGGAGUCCUAUCCCUACUUGUUCGAGAUUCAGGUUUGAGUUAAUUACGUGCAUGGUGGAGAGCACGGGUAGAGGUGCCGAGGAGCUCGGAUUCGACGCUGACGACGCGCCGCGAAGCCGUUCGAGGGUACGGCUGGGAUCGUAGCGCUGCGAGGAAGCUAGGCGAGGGUGUGUUUUCGCCGUUCUCGACGCCACGUCGAUGUCCGAUUAGCCAUUGAGCGUCGACCGUCGGUAUUUCAAUUCGUACUCGGCGUAGGAGCGUCGGUUUUCGACGGGACUUGGUUUGUUGGAUUCGGGACUUCGAGAGGAAUC